ACAUGCAAGUCGAACGGUGAAGGCGGAGCUUGCUCUGCCGGAUCAGUGGCGAACGGGUGAGUAACACGUGGGCAACCUGCCCUUCACUCUGGGAUACCCGGAAACGGGGCUAAUACCGGAUACGACCCCUGCAGGCAUCUGCGGGGGUGGAAAGUUUUUCGGUGAAGGAUGGGCCCGCGGCCUAUCAGCUUGUUGGUGAGGUAGUGGCUCACCAAGGCGACGACGGGUAGCCGGCCUGAGAGGGCGACCGGCCACACUGGGACUGAGACACGGCCCAGACUCC
rnacentral:rRNA from 1 species